AAUAUUGGACAAUGGGCGAAAGCCUGAUCCAGCCAUGCCGCGUGUGUGAAGAAGGUCUUCGGAUUGUAAACUCCUGUCUUAUGGGACGAUAAUGACGGUACCAUAGGAGGAAGCACCGGCUAACUACGUGCCUGCAGCCGCGGUAAUACGUAGGGUGCGAGCGUUGUCCGGAAUUACUGGGUGUAAAGGGAGCGUAGGCGGGGAUGCAAGUCAAGUGUCAAAUCUAUCGGCUCAACCGAUAGCCGCGCUUGAAACUGUGUCUCUUGAGUGAAGUAGAGGCAGGCGGAAUUCCUAGUGUAGCGGUGAAAUGCGUAGAUAUUAGGAGGAACACCAGUGGCGAAGGCGGCCUGCUGGGCUUUUACUGACGCUGAGGCUCGAAAGUGUGGGGAGCAAAC
rnacentral:rRNA from 1 species